rnacentral:rRNA from 1 species
GUGGGGAAUAUUGGGCAAUGGGGGCAACCCUGACCCAGCGACGCCGCGUGGGUGAAGAAAUCCCUCGGGAUGUAAAGCCCUGUUGUAUGGGAAGAGCAGAAGACGGUACCAUACGAGGAAGCCCCGGCAAACUACGUGCCAGCAGCCGCGGUAAUACGUAGGGGGCAAGCGUUGUCCGGAAUUACUGGGCGUAAAGCGCACGCAGGCUGAAUUAUAAGUCGGUAGUCAAAUACGGAGGCUCAACUUCCGGAUAUCUAUCGAUACUGUAAAUCUAGAGUAUGUGAGAGGGAAGCGGAAUUCCCGGUGUAGCGGUGAAAUGCGUAGAGAUUGGGAGGAACACCAGUGGCGAAGGCGACUUACUGGGCCGUAACUGACGUUGAAGCGCGAAAGCGUGGGGAGCGAACAGGAUUAGAUACCCGAGUAGUCC